GGCGUCGGUGGCCGAGUGGUUUAGGGCGCUGGAUUUGAAAUCUGGAGGUCCGCUCUCGGUAGUCCCGAGUUCAACUCCUCGGCCACGCUU